CCAUUUGUAACGGUGUGUCCUGUGGCUUUGUUCAGAGAUCCCAGUAAGAGUCUUGGUUGUUGGUUGUCUUCUUGGUCCCAGUAGACCAGGACAGGUCAAAAAAGAAAGCCACAAGAGUCUUUGUAAAGGCAAUAGCUAAACACAUUACAGGCAUACCUGUCUGGUAAAGAAGCUGAAGAGGUAAAGAAAGAGGGGAUGAUACCUCCUGGAAGAAAAGAGCUGCAGUCAGAUGGAAGAGUUGCUGAGAGACCCCUAUCAAAUUUGGCAACUGAGUCCCCUGUGGCAGUGAAGAAGCGGAUGUGACUGAG